rnacentral:rRNA from 1 species
UUUUAUGAGAGUUUGAUCCUGGCUCAGGACGAACGCUGGCGGCGUGCCUAAUACAUGCAAGUCGAACGCUUCUUUUUCCACCGGAGCUUGCUCCACCGGAAAAAGAAGAGUG